rnacentral:lncRNA from 1 species
UUUACCUGCCUGUAGAGGAUCAAGGCAUUCAGUCAAUGCAGGCUGAAAAGUAGCCUGAGGGCUUGCUGUUAGGUGGGGCCAAUCCCUAGGGCAGGUUGCCUGCCCUGGCUGAGCUGGAUUAAAUCUGUGCUGUAGUGGGUGUGGCAGACCCCUGGGCUAACAGCCCAAGGGAUGCACCUCAAUGGCCCCCACCUGUGUCCGUAUUAGCAUGCCUGGACCAGCUCAGAACAACAGCCCCCACCAAUGUCUCAGUCUCUGGAGAGGAUCCUCCUCUCACCAAGAUGCCCCCAGAGCCCACCAGGCUCCAGUUAUCUUCAAUUAUGAAUUUAAAAAAUGUUAUUUCUGUCUUCACUAGACCCAUCAACAAGAGCGAAAGACCAUCUCUAACAUAUGUCAAGAAAUGGGGAGGUUUUCAAGUUACAUAAUUAAAUAUUUUUCAUCAAAUGACAUUCAAACUUGCAGUUGUGAAUAAUGUAUUCAUCAACUACUUCUCUUAAAGGGAAUGCAACUGUUAAUUUGGUUUUAUCAGCAAA